rnacentral:rRNA from 1 species
AUUGAACGCUGGCGGCAUGCCUUACACAUGCAAGUCGAACGGUAGAGUAGCAAUACUUGAGAGUGGCGAACGGGUGAGUAAUAUAUCGGAACGUGCCCAACUGUGGGGGAUAACGUAGAGAAAUUUACGCUAAUACCGCAUACGAUCUAAGGAUGAAAGCGGGGGAUCGCAAGACCUCGCGCAGUUGGAGCGGCUGAUAUCAGAUUAGCUUGUUGGUGAGGUAAAAAGCUCACCAAGGCGACGAUCUGUAGCUGGUUUGAGAGAACGACCAGCCACACUGGGACUGAGACACGGCCCAGACUCCUACGGAGGCAGCAGUGGGGAAUUUUGGACAAUGGGCGAAAGCCUGAUCCAGCAAUGCCGCGUGCAGGAAGAA